rnacentral:rRNA from 1 species
CGGGUGAGUAACGCGUGGGUAACCUGCCUCAUACAGGGGGAUAACAGUUAGAAAUGACUGCUAAUACCGCAUAAGACCACAGCACCGCAUGGUGCAGGGGUAAAAACUCCGGUGGUAUGAGAUGGACCCGCGUCUGAUUAGCUGGUUGGUGAGGUAACGGCUCACCAAGGCGACGAUCAGUAGCCGGCUUGAGAGAGUGAACGGCCACAUUGGGACUGAGACACGGCCCAA